rnacentral:rRNA from 1 species
CGCGGGGCAACCUGGCGACGAGGGCGAACGGGUGAGUAAUACAUCGGAACGUGCCCAGUAGUGGGGGAUAGCCCGGCGAAAGCCGGAUUAAUACCGCAUACGACCUACGGGUGAAAGCAGGGGAUCGCAAGACCUUGCGCUAUUGGUGCGGCCGAUGUCAGAUUAGGUUGUUGGUGGGGUAAAAGCCCACCAAGCCGACGAUCUGUAGCUGGUCUGAGAGGACGACCAGCCACACUGGGACUGAGACACGGCCCAGACUCCUACGGGAGGCAGCAGUGGGGAAUUUUGGACAAUGGGCGCAAGCCUGAUCCAGCCAUGCCGCGUGCGGGAAGAAGGCCUUCGGGUUGUAAACCGCUUUUGUCAGGGAAGAAACGCUCCAGGCUAAUACCCUUGGGUAAUGACGGUACCUGAAGAAUAAGCACCGGCUAACUACGUGCCAGCAGCCGCGGUAAUACGUAGGGUGCAAGCGUUAAUCGGAAUUACUGGGCGUAAAGCGUGCGCAGGCGGUCUUGCAAGACAGAUGUGAAAU